rnacentral:tRNA from 1 species
GAAAUGGUGGUUCAGUGGUAAAAUUCUCACCUUUCUUGUAAGAGACCUGGGUUUGAUUCCUGGCCAAUGCA